rnacentral:rRNA from 1 species
GCUCAGGAUGAACGCUAGCGACAGGCUUAACACAUGCAAGUCGAGGGGCAGCGGGGUAGUGCUUGCACUACUGCCGGCGACCGGCGCACGGGUGAGUAACACGUAUGGAACCUGCCCGCAGCAGGGGGAUAAGCGGAAGAAAUUCCGUCUAAUACCGCGUAACAACGUUGGGAGGCAUCUCCCGAUGUUUAAAGAUUUAUCGGCUGCGGAUGGCCAUGCGGCGCAUUAGCUAGUCGGCGGGGUAACGGCCCACCGAGGCGACGAUGCGUAGGGGUUCUGAGAGGAAGGUCCCCCACACUGGUACUGAGACACGGACCAGACUCCUACGGGAGGCAGCAGUGAGGAAUAUUGGUCAAUGGCCGAGAGGCUGAACCAGCCAAGUCGCGUGAGGGAAGACGGCCCUACGGGUUGUAAACCUCUUUUGUCGGGGAGCAAAGAGAGCCACGUGUGGCUCAUUGAGAGUACCCGAAGAAAAAGCAUCGGCUAACUCCGUGCCAGCAGCCGCGGUAAUACGGAGGAUGCGAGCGUUAUCCGGAUUUAUUGGGUUUAAAGGGUGCGCAGGCGGAGGUGCAAGUCAGCGGUCAAAUUGCGGGGCUCAACCCCGUACUGCCGUUGAAACUGCAUCCCUUGAGUGCGCGAGAAGUAUGCGGAAUGCGUGGUGUAGCGGUGAAAUGCAUAGAUAUCACGCAGAACUCCGAUUGCGAAGGCAGCAUACCGGCGCGCAACUGACGCUGAGGCGCGAAAGCGUGGGUAUCGAACAGGAUUAGAUACCCUGGUAGUCCACGCUUUAAACGAUGGAUAAUAGGUGUGGGGGGGAGUGACCCCCUCCGUGCCGCAGUUAACACAAUAAGUAUCCCACCUGGGGAGUACGAUCGCAAGGUUGAAACUCAAAGGAAUUGACGGGGGCCCGCACAAGCGGUGGAGUAUGUGGUUUAAUUUGAAGCAACGCGAAGAACCUUACCAGGGCUUGACAUCCCGGUGACCGCUCUAGAGAUAGAGUUUUCCCUUCGGGGACACUGGUGACAGGUGGUGCAUGGUUGUCGUCAGCUCGUGUCGUGAGAUGUUGGGUUAAGUCCCGCAACGAGCGCAACCCUUAUUGUUAGUUGCUACGCAAGAGCACUCUAGCGAGACUGCCGUUGACAAAACGGAGGAAGGUGGGGACGACGUCAAAUCAUCAUGCCCCUUAUGUCCUGGGCCACACACGUACUACAAUGGUGGUCAACAGAGGGAAGCAAAACCGCGAGGUGGAGCAAAUCCCUAAAAGCCAUCCCAGUUCGGAUCGCAGGCUGCAACCCGCCUGCGUGAAGUUGGAAUAGGUAGUAAUCGCGGAUCAGCAUGCCGCGGUGAAU